GAUUAAAUAGCAUGCUUGAUUUCAGCAUAUCAAAUGGUUUGGUUUAUUGUUUAGUAGUUUAUGUACUUUGAUAAUAUCUAAAUUCGAAUGAAUUAGUGCCAAAGCAAUAUGCUUUGUUCUAGCUAGAAGUAAUUUAUGGAUCACACAGAGGAUGGUCAUCAACAAGAGGAACCGGUCUCAAAAGAGAAUGAAUCAGUCAACAGGGACACGAACCUAUAUAUGCUAGUUUGGCUCAUGAAUAUAACUUCUGCAUGGUAAAGAGCCAGAUAGAUGGGAAUUGUUCAAAUUAACACACCAAAAGGCAGGAACUCAAGAGCCAAUUGAUGCAGCAGGUGCAAAAGCAAUUGCGGAUUUUGAAGAGGCCGAACAAAAGAGGCUAAGCAUGAAUGUUGACAUCACUGCUCCAGAAAUCCGUGAAGAAAUGUAUGCUGAGGUUCUUGGUAAGGAGAAGGGAAACCGAGUAAGGGGUCUUGGAGCUGGGGUUACUUGGGAUGAAGUUCCUGGAAUUCAUGUGGAAGAGCGAGAUGUUUCAAAGGAAGUGCAACUCUUGCGAGAGCGUUUAGAAGCACAAACCAAAGAGGCACAAGAGAGGGAAGCACGUCUGAUGGAUGAAUUACAAAGGAAAAUGGCCGAACAAACAAAAAAAAUGGAAGAAAUGCUUGAAGUAAGGUGUGUAGGCAUGGCGGUCCAAAAAAUGGGAGAGAUGUUUAAACAAUGUGGAAUAUCGGUGGAUACAUAAGAAGAUAUGGAGCAAACAAUGUCUCAAUUUGCUCAGCACAUUUCUCAAAGGCCGUCAAAUGUGAUUUUUUCACCAAAUGAUGAUGUUUACCGCUCCACAUUGCCAUUUGAAUGUGCUGAUAUGCAGACGGAUUGAAGACAUUGCUUGAAGAUGGUGGUCGCUCGUUCAACUCUAUCGGAAUUAGUUUGAUAUUACAAUAAAGAUUUUCGUAUUAGUAUUUCCAUUUUCUAGUCAUUUGAGAUUUCGGACUAAUUUUAAUUCUUGUCUUUUGUUAGUUUAAAGUUUAAACUUUGUAGAUUUUAUUAUAAAUAUAUUUUCUUUAGAAUA